rnacentral:tRNA from 1 species
GGAAAUAUAGCUUAAUGCUUAGAGCAGUACCCUUAUACGGUGCCGGUUGAAGGUUCAAAUCCUUCUAUUUUCA